GACGAACGCUGGCGGCGUGCUUAACACAUGCAAGUCGAACGGAAAGGCCCUGCUCUUGUUGGGUGCUCGAGUGGCGAACGGGUGAGUAACACGUGAGUAACCUGCCCUUGACUUUGGGAUAACUUCAGGAAACUGCGGCUAAUACCGGAUAGGAGCUCCUGCUGCAUGGUGGGGGUUGGAAAGUUUCGGCGGUUCGGGAUGGACUCGCGGCUUAUCAGCUUGUUGGGCAGGUUGUGGAUUACCCAGGGUUUGAUGGGUAGCCGGCCUGCGAGGGGGACCGGCCGCACUGGAGCUGAGACACGCUCCAGGGGCCUACGGGAGGCACCAGUAGGGAAUCGGGCGCAAUGGGCGGAAACUUGACGGAGCGGCGCCGAGUGAGUGAUGAAGGUCUUCGGAUCGGAAAACUCGGCUAUGGGGGAAGAACACAUGUGUACGUAAAUAUGCACGUCUUGACGGUAACUAAUAAGAAAGCCACGGCUAACUACGUG
rnacentral:rRNA from 1 species